GAAGAAAGAGCAAGCAUGUAGCACAGAAAGUGGAAAUACCACAGGAAGUAAAAACUAGAAAAGAACCUUUUAACAUUGAGGUUGAUGCCUAAGAAAUAUUUGGCAAAGAUAAUUGGCGAGGAGAAAUAGACAAAAGUCUUUCUUUCCUUUCCAGGUCAAACCAACUCCCUCCUAACAUCUGAGAGAUGCAGAAGGUAUUGCCCACAGUAUGGGCUCCUUUAGACAUUUGGAAAACCUUGGCUUUCAGCUCCCUGUCAUGAAUGAACCAAGGAUCAAAAUGCAUCAGCAAGGUGUUUAUGGCAUGGGAGAGACAGAGAGAAACAAUCACACCAUCAUUGGAUGAGAUGACAUCAUGAUUCUCACCAUAUUCCUGAUGCCACACAUGAUACCUGACAAAUGGUAAGCCACACUAUGGUUGUUGAAUGAAUGGAUAAAUUCAUUAAUGAAGUUCUAUAGUAAGAGUACAUAAAACGUGAUAUGGGACCAUGGAGGAAACAGUGGGCUAUUUUUGAGUAGAGAGUCAGAUAAUAUUUCACAGAAAAGGUGGCAAAGAACGGUUGAGAAACAACUGAAGCAAAGGGAGCAGCAUUUGUAAAGUCAUGUUCAUAGAAAAGUGAAUCUUUCCUUUAUCUCGAGCUGUGGAGGAAGAAGGCGGUGUUGACCUCUAUUUUAGAAUGGAUUAUCAUAUAGGGAUCUUUUUUUAUC
rnacentral:lncRNA from 10 species